rnacentral:rRNA from 1 species
AUUGAACGCUGGCGGCAGGCCUAACACAUGCAAGUCGAGCGGAUGAAGGGAGCUUGCUCCUGGAUUCAGCGGCGGACGGGUGAGUAAUGCCUAGGAAUCUGCCUGGUAGUGGGGGAUAACGUCCGGAAACGGGCGCUAAUACCGCAUACGUCCUGAGGGAGAAAGUGGGGGAUCUUCGGACCUCACGCUAUCAGAUGAGCCCAGGUCGGAUUAGCUAGUUGGUGGGGUAAAGGCCUACCAAGGCGACGAUCCGUAACUGGUCUGAGAGGAUGAUCAGUCACACUGGACCUGAGACACGGUCCAGACUCCUACGGGAGGCAGCAGUGGGGAAUAUUGGACAAUGGGCGAAAGCCUGAUCCAGCCAUGCCGCGUGUGUGAAGAAGGUCUUCGGAUUGUAAAGCACUUUAAGUUGGGAGGAAGGGCAGUAAGUUAAUACCUUGCUGUUUUGACGUUACCAACAGAAUAAGCACCGGCUAACUUCGU